ACAUGGUUCCGUCAAGCGC
rnacentral:miRNA from 1 species